rnacentral:rRNA from 1 species
UACAGAGGGUGCGAGCGUUAAUCGGAAUGACUGGGCGUAAAGGGCGUGUAGGCGGGCUUGUAAGUCAGAUGUGAAAGUCCUGGGCUUAACCUGGGGAUUGCAUAUGAAACUGUGAGUCUUGAGUGAAGUAGAGGGUGGCGGAAUUUCCGGUGUAGCGGUGAAAUGCGUAGAUAUCGGAAGGAACACCAGUGGCGAAGGAGGCCACCGGGGCUUUAACUGACGCUGAGGCGCGAAAGCGUGGGUAGCAAACAGG